UACAGAGGUCUCAAGCGUUGUUCGGAUUCAUUGGGCGUAAAGGGUGCGUAGGCGGCGCGGUAAGUCGGGUGUGAAAUCUCGGGGCUUAACUCCGAAACUGCAUUCGAUACUGCCGUGCUUGAGGACUGGAGAGGAGACUGGAAUUUACGGUGUAGCGGUGAAAUGCGUAGAGAUCAUGAGGAAGACCAGUGGCGAAGGCGGGUCUCUGGACAGUUCCUGACACUGAGGCACGAAGGCCAGGGGAGCAAACGGG
rnacentral:rRNA from 1 species